rnacentral:rRNA from 1 species
AUUGAACGCUGGCGGCAGGCCUAACACAUGCAAGUCGAACGAGUGGCGGACGGGUGAGUAAUGUCUGGGAAACUGCCCGAUGGAGUGGUAUAACUACUGACAACUGUAGCUAAUACCGCAUACCAUCGUAUGUGCCCAGCUGGGAUUAGCUGGUUGGUGGGGUAACGGCUCACCUAGACGACGCUCCCUAGCUGGUCUGAGAGGAUGACGAGCCACACGGGAAAUGAGAGACGGUCCAGACUCCGACGGGAGGCAGCAGUGGGGAAUAUUGCACAAUGGGGGCAAGCCUGAUGAAGCCAUGCCGCGGGGAUGAAGAAGGCCUUCGGGUUGUAAAGUACUUUCAGCGAGGAGGCGUUACUCACAGAAGAAGCACCGGCUAACGCCGUGCCAGCAGCCGCGGUAAUUC